CUUUAUUUCUCCUAGAGAGUCUGUCAAAUGUUUCACAAAUAACACUAAAUAGCACAAACAGUAUUAAAUGCCAGUAACAGUUUUCCUGUUCUGUCUAGGCAUUGCUAGAAGCACAGUAUCCCCCCCACAACAAAUAUAGACAGCUCUAUAAAGUCUCCCUUUAUUAUGCUUUAUCAUGGACUUUAUUUCCUGAACUAUAUGAACAACAAUGAAGCAUUUUGAUAUUUCCUAUCAGAGUGCAGGUUGUGAUUACUGAUGUGUCGAGUCUGUUUCCCAGAAAAUAACUGUUCUAAAAAAAAAUAUAGUUCUAUGCGUAAAAAUCUGGGCCCCAAAUUUCAGUG